CGAAUAGCGCGAUCCUAUAAGUGGUGCCAAAAACAUCAUCUGCCAAUUAUAUUUAAAACACACAAGUAUAUAUUUUUUUCUAGGAGCCAUACAAGUAUCUUUUCCCUAAUAAUAAAGCAUGGGUUAAGGCUCUUGAGCUCUCUGUCGUGGCAUUUUUACAUAAAGGUCCCUGUGAUUUAGGGUAAUACAACCCGCAGUCUUUUUAAAUCUCUCCCUAAUCUAAAGUUAACCGAACCAGUUUGAGAUAAAAGAAAAAAAAUCCCCAGCCUCCCGAUAUCAUCUCGACCUCCAGGCUCAAGCGCUUCGCCACCUCCCGCCGGCCGCCCCCCCUCUCCCCCCGUCGCCGCGCGCCGCCACUGACGCCGUGGCCAUUGGAAGCUCCCCCCCGCCCCUGCUACCAUGGUGCCGCCGGGACUCCUGCCCGCUGCUGAAAUUUCCCAUCGCCAUCCCAAGGGCAUCGCCCGCCGCGCUCCCCUGGACCCUGAGCGCCGCCGCCCCAGCCACCAUCGUGCCUCCACCGGGUGACCCCAGGCGCCGCUGAUCCCGUGUGCUGCUGCUCGAAGAUUCCCCUGCUCGCUGCCCUCUCCCUCCCACUCCACAGUGCACGGGGCAGGGGGAACCGGGUGGCGGCGGCGGCAUGAUCUCCGGUAAGCGGUGGGGCCGGGAUCCGGUGGCGGCGGCAAGCUCCUGUAGAUAGGCAACAAGCGAGAGAGAGGGAUUGAGAGAAAGCGAGAUGCAGGGGAGAGAGAUGGGAAGGAAGGAGAAGAAGACGAGCAUGGGCAGUGGGGCGUAGGAGAGAGAGAGGGCGGAGGGAAGGAGGAUAAGGACAGAUGGCAGGGGGCGGCCUGUGUGAUUGCUCCGGUGAUGGCGUCUGGCGUCGGUUCACACUUCGGCGCGCAGCCGCAAUACCUUCCCUCCACCGUCUCCACGUGGUGUAGGCUGCUGCAAUCUCUCUAUCCCAGCGAUGUCCCAGCUGCACGCCACAGCCAGCCAACAAGACCAGUAUGUAGCUCAGGCCCAGAAUUGGUCAAUUUUAUACAGCUGCAAUACACAACGACACACAAAAUAGAUGCUCCUAGGCUUGAUCUUUCUACUACAACUAAACAUACUCGCCCAAUACUUAUUAUCGCACUUUUCUCAACUAAACAUACUCUGUCCCUUGAGGAGGAUUUCAGGGGAGAUCGACUACUGUAAGUCUGUGACGAUAACAAGAGGCUGAUAUUUGAGCUGGACUCUUGCGGACAACAGGUUCAGGAGCUCCAAGCCAACAACAGCCAUUGCCUUGAAAAAGAUGUAAGAUUGCUACUAUCUAGCUUCUGUCACAAGAUUUGAUGUAGCCUGUUAUUUUGUAUGUCAGUCAGUUUUGUUGUAAGAAUGAGUAAUAGAUCUAUUGUUCAAUUCUUGUUUGAGAUAGAAUACAAGUUAUGUUAAAUAUUCAAUGUUUAUUGAACAUGACCAUAGUGGAAAAGGCUUUAAAGAUCAAGAGAUGAGAUAUUUUUUCCUUUAACAGUUCAAUUUCUGAAAAAAAAAAUCAACACAAUAGCCGAGUUUAUUACAAUUUUCACAUAUAAUACUUGCCGCUAAGAACUUAUAGGUAUAUGCUUUCACAUGCAGUACUGUCUUUGCUAACACGUAUGGUGUCAGUUUAGAAAGACCUACGUAAUGUUGUUUUCAUUCUUGGCUUCAGGGAAAAAGGGAUAGGUUCAGAAAAUAUUUAUCUAGGAUAGAUGUAUAUUUAUGUAAGAGGAUAGAUGUACUUACGUGUAGAACUACAGUUUGUUGCAGUUGCUAGGGACUGUAAAUUACGUUUCUAAUUCAUUCUUUUGCAUUUCAGUCUGUCAUUCAUUGUUACUUGAAUGUUUCUCUUUUUGUGAUCUCCCAUAGAAGCAUUUUGUUUGUUUUUUCACUGGAACAGCUCUACGCGCCUUGUGAAAUGUCUGAUGUAGUUUGGAAAUAUGAGUGAGAACUGCAAGUACGUCGAUACUGCCCUCUAUGUAUCGAAUCCAAGGAUUUUUUCUAAUAUAUAUUCUUUUUGAUAAUUUCAAGGGAGGAAGAGAACUCCAGUUCUAUGGUAAUGUUCUUGAUUCUGAUUUUCCAUGAUUGAUAAUGUUGUUUAGGACCCUAAGCUUUGUCAUGGCUGAUUUAAAUAGGCACAGUUGGUUUAGAAGGAAAGCACUGCUACUAAUUUUAGAACUAGGAUGUCGUUUUUGACAGCUGUCAGGUAUUGCUUAUUUGCAUUGUAAGAUCACAAUUCUAAGGUUAAUCUUUUUAGUUGUGUAGCAUUGCAUAUUUGGGUCCUUGAAUUUUCUCCUCGAAGAUCAACACAUUCGAUCAGAUUUGGCUUAUUUAAUAAUUAGCAAACAAUAAAAAUUGAACAUCUAUGCAGUGCGACAUUUCUUACGGAUGGUCAGGUCGCCGGCAACAUCGUCUAUAUUGUACCAAGGUUCUGCUGCUGCUACAAUGGCAACCUCCUACUUCCCGAACAUAACCAUUGCAGCUAUCCUUGCUACAGUAAAUUUUGUUUCUUUUCUUUCUCAUAAAUUAUGGACAUAUAGGCAGUGGCGGAGCCAGGAAACCUGAAUGGACAGGGCCAAGAGCUGCUAAACUAGCUUGGGGAGGGCCAGACCAACGGAAUACAAAGCUAAUACACUGUUUUAGCUGAAAUACCCUGUGUCCUAGUGGAAAUAUUUGCAUGUUGGCCUGGGCCCAGGCCCUGGCUAGCACCCCCCUGUCUCCGCCACUGCAUAUAGGCAUUCUGAUCAGGUAAUGUUCUUCUCUAAGAUUUGAUAUUUGAAGCAUGAUGUUUGCGGUCAGAUAAUUUUCCUAGGGUCCUAAAGAUGUCGAUGUUGAUGGAAAAUACACAUGUUGCAUACCUUUUUUGAAAUCAGAAGGUAACACCUGAUUGCCUUCAUAUAAAGAAACAGAUUUUAAACACAUAGGAGGCGAUGUAUAGCUAGCAGGAACAAGAAAAAAAUGCUGCUCGAAGGUGAGUGGAAGUGCAUGAUUUUCUAGAAUUAUUUUCUUGACAGAAGUUACUAUAUUCUCAAUAUACAUCACAGUUGUAAUCAUCUAAAAACAGAAAAUCACUUCUAGAGUUGUAGUAAUGCAAGUGAUUAAAAUCCCUUGCUAAUUAAAAUUGUAGUUUCAUUUAUUUCACCGUAAUGUUUUUUUGGAGAACGAUCAUGCAUGUUUCUAAUACAUAUGUUGAGAUUAGUAGACGAAGGUUAACUUUGUGUCGGUAUUUACUCUCUACCAGUUUCUAUGUAAACCAUCACUGAAUACACGAGUAUGACAUCCAUAUCAUUUCCAGUAAAAAAAGUGUUGAGAUAUUUAGCUCCCGUACAAUCAGUAUGAAUUUAUAUCGUCUAUAUGUGAACAAAUAAUUUCAGGCUGAAGAUCACUAGAACCAGCAUGAAAAAUUGACCUCUCAAAACAUGAAAACAAUGGCUUACUUCAGCAGUCAAGCUUAUAAGAUGGUUCACAAUUAACAGCUGAUUUCACAAAUGUGGCUCAACUUGAAUUGUUUUAUGUUGGACAUUAUAAUUUUUGUGAGGUUUUGUUGUUCGCCCGUUGCAACGCACGGGCACUUUUACUAGUAUUAACAUAAUUAAGAGAAGAUAUCCACCCAUCAACAUCACAGUGGAAACCCCAACUAUUUGGUGAACUGCAAAUUUUGUUAUCAUACGCACACGACCAUGUGGGCUGAUGCUAUGGGUUAAAAAAACACAGUUCCAUCACUUUCAAUGGUAUGAAAUCAAAAUCUAUAUGAAACCUUAAGUAUUUGCAAUGGUACUAUUAGAUGCUAGAUAGAACUAACCAUGGUUUUGGAUUCUAGGAUAACCAUGAUAGAUUCGGAUUGUAUGAUAACCCUUCCAAGGAGUAUGUCUCUAUGAGCCUACAUAUUUUUAGAGCAAUUAUGUAAGCAUGCAUAUAUUGUUUUAAUAUGAAUAUGUGGCAAGGCACAAACAUUUUGCUACUAGAGACAACAUGUGCUGAAAAAGAAGAACUGCCUAAAAGCAUGCUUUGGCCCGUGAUAACCCACAUAAACCCAUAAAAACUUGAAUAAUCAAUAGAAUCAUUUUGCACAUAUUUUUGGGCAUUUGAUGGCUUAAACAUUCAUAAACCAUUCUCAUAAAACAAAGAUUUAUUUCGCAAAAAAAUAGAACAGCAGAAAAUACAAUAAGAAGUACAUUAACGUAUUUCAGCCCAAAGCCCAUCAACAGCACGUUUGACAUCGCCCCAGUGGGCCAAGUUAAGCACGGCCCAUUUUCUCCUCCCCCUCCCCGAUUUUCUCGGACCACACAGAGACCGCGCCGACGCGCAGCGCCGUCAUGCCCCGGCGUCCAUGGCGGCUCGGCGGAGCAGCCUGCAGCGGAGGGGUCCAGCGCGCUGCUCCGUCGAUCUUGGCCACCCGUGCCGCUCUCAUGGCGUUAGCGGCGGGAGGGAGGACGCCGGUGCCGCGGCGACUUGAGUAUGGCGAACGGGGCCUGGCUGCGGCCACCGCGUGGUCUUCUUGAGGCGCGGCAACAGCUGGAGCUUGUGGCGACUCCACGCACGGUGACGGCCGCGUGCGGCGGCCCGAUGUGCUUGGGCUUCCGGAUGGCUGAUGUAUACUCCUGCAAUAAAGCUUUUGGGGCAUGAUUCGAGCCACUCGUGCUUCAGCCAAUCAUCCAUCGUACAGACGGCAAGUGAAAUAAGUCUCUAUUAUUUCAACAGUUGGUUGCUAUCGGAAAGAAACCGUAAACUUGGCAACAUAUGGACUUCAGCGGUGCAGAUAGACAGAGAAGUCUUCAUUUUUUCAAAAGAAACUGACAUCUGACGAUAACAGUAAUGAGAAUUCAAACGUUGAGCAUUGAAACCUGGAAAAUAACAGUUGUUGGUUCAUGCAUUGCAGCACAUGAUUCACAGGAAUAAUUAGCAUCAGACUGGAGAUUUCUUUACUAGUAUAGUUUUCAUUUUUCUCAUUAGUAUUUGUUUAGACUGUAUGGUUACCUGCGACAUAGAAUAGAGAUAAAAGCAUUAGUAAAGGCUCAUUCAUUGAAAAUCAAAAUCAUAGAGACAGGAAAAGAAAAUGAGUUUCUAUCAUCUC